rnacentral:rRNA from 1 species
CCUUCACUGGGUGUGGCGGGGAAACAGGACUUUUACUGUGAAAAAAUUAGAGUGCUCCAGGCAGGCCUAUGCUCGAAUACAUUAGCAUGGAAUAAUAGAAUAGGACGUGUGGUUCUAUUUUGUUGGUUUCUAGGACCGCCGUAAUGAUUAAUAGGGACAGUCGGGGGCAUCAGUAUUCAAUUGUCAGAGGUGAAAUUCUUGGAUUUAUUGAAGACUAACUACUGCGAAAGCAUUUGCCAAGGAUGUUUUCAUUAAUCAGUGAACGAAAGUUAGGGGAUCGAAGACGAUCAGAUACCGUCGUAGUCUUAACCAUAAACUAUGCCGACUAGGGAUCGGACGGUGUUAUUUUUUGACCCGUUCGGCACCUUACGAGAACAUCAAAGUGCUUGGGCUCCAGGGGGAGUAUGGUCGCAAGGCUGAAACUUAAAGAAAUUGACGGAAGGGCACCACCAGGGGUGGAGCCUGCGGCUUAAUUUGACUCAACACGGGGAAACUCACCAGGUCCAGACACAAUGAGGAUUAGACAGAUUGA